rnacentral:rRNA from 1 species
GGACAAGACUGACGCUCAGGUGCGAAAGCGUGGGGAGCAAACAGGAUUAGAUACCUGGUAGUCACGCUGUAAACGAUGUCGAUUUGGAGUGUUCCCUGAGGAGUGGCUUCCGGAGCUAACGCGUUAAAUCGACCGCCUGGGGAGUACGGCCGCAAGGUUAAAACUCAAAUGAAUUGACGGGGGCCCGCACAAGCGGUGGAGCAUGUGGUUUAAUUCGAUGCAACGCGAAGAACCUUACCUACUCUUGACAUCCAGAGAAUUUAGCAGAGAUGCUUUAGUGCCUUCGGGAACUCUGAGACAGGUGCUGCAUGGCUGUCGUCAGCUCGUGUUGUGAAAUGUUGGGUUAAGUCCCGCAACGAGCGCAACCCUUAUCCUUUGUUGCCAGCACAUUAUGGUGGGAACUCAAAGGAGACUGCCGGUGAUAAACCGGAGGAAGGUGGGGAUGACGUCAAGUCAUCAUGGCCCUUACGAGUAGGGCUACACACGUGCUACAAUGGCGUAUACAAAGAGAAGCGACCUCGCGAGAGCAAGCGGAACUCAUAAAGUACGUCGUAGUCCGGAUUGGAGUCUGCAACUCGACUCCAUGAAGUCGGAAUCGCUAGUAAUCGUAGAUCAGAAUGCUACGGUGAAUACGUUCCCGGGCCUUGUACACACCGCCCGUCACACCGUGGGAGUGGGUUGCAAAAGAAGUAGGUAGCUUAACCUUCGGGAGGGCGCUUACCACUUUGUGAUUCAUGACUGGGGUGAAGUCGUAACAAGGUAACCA